rnacentral:piRNA from 1 species
UAACUUUUCAGAGGAAAGAGGCCAUUGAGU